rnacentral:lncRNA from 1 species
CAGACGUCCCUGCGCGUCGUCCUCCUCGCCCUCCAGGCCGCCCGCGCCGCGCCGGAGUCCGCUGUCCGCCAGCUACCCGCUUCCUGCCGCCCGCCGCUGCCAUGCUGCCCGCCGCGCUGCUCCGCCGCCCGGGACUUGGCCGCCUCGUCCGCCACGCCCGUGCCUAUGCCGAGGCCGCCGCCGCCCCGGCUGCCGCCUCUGGCCCCAACCAGAUGUCCUUCACCUUCGCCUCUCCCACGCAGAGCCAGCCGCCAAGGUUGACCUCAGCUUCGGAGCCACCUCUGGAUGAACUGCCCCCAGCCCCCGCCCCAUUAAAGACCCGGAAGCCUG